GACGAACGCUGGCGGCGUGCUUAACACAUGCAAGUCGAACGGAAAGGCCCUGCUUUUGUGGGGUGCUCGAGUGGCGAACGGGUGAGAAACGCGUGAGUCACCUGCGCUUUACUUUGGGAUAUCUUCAGGAAACUUGGGCUACUACCUGUAAUGAGCUCCUGCUCCGUGGGGGGGGUUGGGAAGUUUCGGCGGUUGGUGAUGGACUCGCGGCUUAUCAGCUUGCUUGUGGGGUAGUGGCUUACCAAGGCGUUGACGGGUAGCCGGCCUGAGAGGGUGACCGGCCACAUUGGGCCUGAGAUGACGCCCAGCCUCCUACGGGAGGAAGCAGUGGGGAAUAGUGCACAAUGGGCGGAAGCCUGAUGCAGCAAUGCCGCGUGCGGGAUGACGACCUUCGGGUUGUAACCCGCUUUCGCCUGUGACGAAGCGUGAGUGACGGUAAUGGGUAAAGAAGCACCGGCUAACUACGUG
rnacentral:rRNA from 1 species